rnacentral:rRNA from 1 species
UACGUAGGGUGCGAGCGUUGUCCGGAAUUAUUGGGCGUAAAGAGCUCGUAGGCGGCUUGUCGCGUCGGAUGUGAAAGCCCGGGGCUUAACUCCGGGUCUGCAUUCGAUACGGGCAGGCUAGAGUGUGGUAGGGGAGAUCGGAAUUCCUGGUGUAGCGGUGAAAUGCGCAGAUAUCAGGAGGAACACCGGUGGCGAAGGCGGUUCUCUGGGCCUGUACUGACGCUGAGGAACGAAAGCGUGGGGAGCGAACAGG